AGUGAGGAAUAUUGCACAAUGGGGGAAACCCUGAUGCAGCAACGCCGCGUGGAGGAUGACGCAUUUCGGUGUGUAAACUCCUUUUAUAUGUCAAGAAAAUGACGGUAGCAUAUGAAUAAGCACCGGCUAACUCCGUGCCAGCAGCCGCGGUAAUACGGAGGGUGCAAGCGUUACUCGGAAUCACUGGGCGUAAAGGACACGUAGGCGGGUUAUCAAGUCAGAUGUGAAAUCCUACAGCUUAACUGUAGAACUGCAUUUGAAACUGGUAACCUAGAGUAUGGGAGGGGGAGAUGGAAUUAGUGGUGUAGGGGUAAAAUCCGUAGAUAUCACUAGGAAUACCUAAAGCGAAGGCGAUCUCCUGGAACAUUACUGACGCUAAGGUGUGAAAGCGUGGGGAGCAAACGGGAUUAGAUACCCCGGUAGUCCACGCCCUAAACGAUGAACACUAGUCGUCGGGAUGCUUGUCAUCUCGGUGAUGCACUUAACAGAUUAAGUGUUCCGCCUGGGGAGUACGGUCGCAAGAUUAAAACUCAAAGGAAUAGACGGGGACCCGCACAAGUGGUGGAGCAUGUGGUUUAAUUCGAAGAUACGCGAAGAACCUUACCUAGCCUUGACAUUGAAGAAACACACUAGAGAUAGAGUGGUGCCCUUCGGGGAAUCUGAAAACAGGUGCUGCACGGCUGUCGUCAGCUCGUGUCGUGAGAUGUUGGGUUAAGUCCCGCAACGAGCGCAACCCUCGUCCUUAGUUGCUAGCAGGUUAAGCUGAGCACUCUAAGGAGACUGCCUUCGCAAGGAGGAGGAAGGUGAGGACGACGUCAAGUCAUCAUGGCCCUUAUGGCUAGGGCUACACACGUGCUACAAUGGGGCGUACAGAGUGUUGCGAUACCGCGAGGUGGAGCCAAUCACUUAAAGCGUCUCUCAGUUCGGAUUGGAGUCUGCAACUCGACUCCAUGAAGCUGGAAUCACUAGUAAUCGUAGAUCAGCAAUGCUACGGUGAAUACGU
rnacentral:rRNA from 1 species